AUGGAAGAAACGGCGGCGCGCAUGGAGGAGCAGCCGCGGGAGAUGGACGCGCAUCCUCCUUCCUCGGCGCCGGCGGCCGCUUCUUCGUCCUCGUCCUCGUCCUCGUCGCCGACGGAAAGCGCCGCCAUGCUAAUCAGGGCUAAGAGAACCUGCUAUGCCUCUGCUUCCUCUGUCUUUGCCGCAUCCAGGCCACGAGGAUGGGCAGAGCUCCGCGAAGAUUUGCUCCAAUGUGUCGUCGCUCUCCUCGGCUCCUCCGCGACCUCCUCGCCUUCGGUGCCACCUGUCGUCCUUGGCGUGAUCUCUUCUCGGUAUGCACGUGCUCUUUGCAGCCUCUCCUCCUACACCCGAGUGCCGACAGCAAACUAUCUCCCCAGUUUAACCGCUGGACGACCUUGCAAGGAUGCACGUGGAGAUUGGCUGAUCCUGCUGCCGCCUCAUCCUAUCCCAGUUUGCUUUCCUUGA
rnacentral:rRNA from 1 species